rnacentral:sRNA from 1 species
UGUAACUACUGUCAGUGAGAGAUAUAGUUGAGUAUCACUUUGACAAUUAGAACUUUGAAAUUUCAGUAUGAGUGAUCAUUCUUCUCAGAGAGAUGUGGAAAAGUUCUGAGAUCAAAGUAUGAAAGAAUUUGAAAACUUUGUUACAGCUGCUAUCACUUUUCAUGUCAGUGAUUUUGAUUACUACAACAAACACAAUCAUCAAAAGAUCAUUGAAGUCAUUACUCAUUUCAAUAUCAAGAUGCAACAACAUUGAUAUCAAUAUACACAUAAUAUACAGACUUUGUCAUCAUGGAAAGAAUUUGUUAGUUGAAUGCAAUGUCAAGUCAUCAAUUCAGAUAGAAGUUUCUGAGAUGUCAAUAGACAGUACUGAAAAACAGAGCAACAAGA